rnacentral:rRNA from 1 species
CACGGAGUUAGCCGAUCCUUAUUCUCAGAGUACAUUCAGCUUCGUAUACAUACGAAGGUUUAUUCCCCUGCAAAAGCAGUUUACAACCCGUAGGGCCGUCUUCCUGCACGCGGCAUGGCUGGUUCAGACUUGCGUCCAUUGACCAAUAUUCCUUACUGCUGCCUCCCGUAGGAGUCUGGUCCGUGUCUCAGUACCAGUGUGGGGGGUCAUCCUCUCAGAUCCCCUAAACAUCGUAGCCUUGGUAUGCCGUUACCACACCAACUAGCUAAUGUUCCGCAUGCCCAUCUUAAUCCUAUAAAUAUUUGAUUAUUAAAUAAUGCUAUUCAAUAAUGUUAUGCGGUGUUAAUCUCUCUUUCGAGAGGCUAUCCCCCAGAUUAAGGUAGGUUACAUACGUGUUACGCACCCGUGCGCCACUCUCAAGAAAAGCAAGCUCUUCUAUCCCGUCCGACUUGCAUGUAUUAGGCCUGCCGCUAGCGUUCAUCCUGAGCCAGGAUA